GGUGCUUGAUAUUUGUAUAUUUACAAAUGAAUAGGUGGUAAGAAGUAAGAACCAAACAAAAGGUUUAUUCUCUUUCCCAUAAAACACCCAGUGCUUGGAUGGGUUACACUUCAAUAUGAGUUCAAAACAGCUUCUCUGACGGUUUUAGGAUUGCAAGAAAGAAAGAAGAAAAAGAUGAUUCAGAAGUUAGAAACAUCAGUGAGUUAGGACUUACUGUAAUUUUAUGCCGAGGAUACAAAUAGGAAUAAGAUACCUGCCUGUCCCUCAAGAUUCCUGAAGAGAGGCACUAAAGGAAACAUUUCCUACAGAAUAAGGAGCCCUGAGCUACCAUUUGAGAAACUGACGUGGAGAAGCAGAUUCCCUGGGAGUAUAAUGUGAGAGAGGAGGUCUAGCCUUACCAGCAUCCAGUUGAGCCCAGCGUUCCAGAUGUCACUGAUAAAGUGUCAGACACGUGAGCAAGGCCAUCCUGAAGAUGCCAGCCCUGACCGCCAUCUGACUACAGCUAUGUGAGACACACAAAUGAGACCAGCG